rnacentral:rRNA from 1 species
CAUGCAAGUCGAACGAAGAGGUCUAGCUUGCUAGACUGAUUAGUGGCGAACGGGUGAGUAACAUUUAGGAAUCUACCUUAUAGAGGGGGAUAGCUCGGGGAAACUCGAAUUAAUACCGCAUACGACCUACGGGUGAAAGGGGGCGCAAGCUCUUGCUAUAAGAUGAGCCUAAACCAGAUUAGCUAGUUGGUGGGGUAAAGGCCUACCAAGGCGACGAUCUGUAGCUGGUCUGAGAGGAUGAUCAGCCACACUGGGACUGAGACACGGCCCAGACUCCUACGGGAGGCAGCAGUGGGGAAUAUUGGACAAUGGGCGAAAGCCUGAUCCAGCCAUGCCGCGUGUGUGAAGAAGGCCUUAUGGUUGUAAAGCACUUUAAGUGGGGAGGAAAAGCUUAUGGAUAACACCCAUAGGUUCUGACGUUACCCACAGAAUAAGCACCGGCUAA